rnacentral:rRNA from 1 species
AACAAACGCUGGCGGCGUGCCUAAUACAUGCAAGUCGAACGGGGAAAGCUUUCGGGUGAGUACUAGUGGCGCACGGGUGAGUAACGCGUGGAUAAUCUGCCUUAGAGUGGGGGAUAACUAGUCGAAAGAUUAGCUAAUACCGCAUAAGACCACAAGAACUGCGGUUCAAGGGGUCAAAGGUUUUUCGCUCUAAGAUGAGUCCGCGUAAGAUUAGCUAGUUGGUAGGGUAACGGCCUACCAAGGCGACGAUCUUUAACUGGUCUGAGAGGAUGAUGAGUCACAGUGGAACUGAGACACGGUCCAGACUGCUACGGGAGGCAGCAGUAGGGAAUAUUGCACGAUGGAGGAAACUCUGAUGCAGCGACGCCGCGUGAGUGAUGAAGGCCUUCGGGUCGUAAAGCUCUGUCGCAGGGGAAUAACACAAUGAAGGUACCCUGUAAGAAAGGAUCGGCUAACUUCGUGCCAGCCGCCGCGGUAACAC